UUAAGACCUGAUGGUAAAGUUCCAGUCUGAGUGUCUCUGUCUGAUGGUCACCAUGUUCAGCCUGAACCGAGCAGCUCUGCUUCAACUAUUAGUUAUGUGCCAAGUCUUUGCAGGUCAUUGUUUCAUUGACCACUGGGAUAUUCUGGUGUCCAGAGGAGAAUCUGUCACACUGACUUGCAACACAUCCGAGGAAAAGAUCACACAAGUCCACUGGACCAACGACAGAUUUAGUUUUAUUCAUUCAAUUCAACUUAAUAAGACUUUCUCUAAUCUAACCUCUAACAGAGUGACAAUAGACGGAAACUUAUCUUUAAAUCUGAAUGUUUUUAAUGCUACACAUGAAGAUGCAGGACUCUAUACAUGCACAGUAAGUGGCAACCAUGGCAUAAGGAGAACAGAGUGGAAUAUGACAGUGUCUGAGGCACCUGAAGGAGUCAGUUCAUCGUGGGAUUUUCUAUAUAUACUCCUAUAUUCAAAUGGACUUCUUCUCUGUGUCAUCGCUACAGCUGUCUGCCUCUGCAGAAAACUCUGGAAAGAGAAAUCAGCCAGGACUCAGUGAGGAGGACUCUGAGUUAGGUCCAGUUUCAUGUCCAGUUGGGAGGACAGGUGUCUCCUGCUCAGUACCAGAGCUGUGUAGUGUACAGGAUGAAUGGACAGGACACAUGAUAUACGAUGAUGUAAAUAACAUGGAUCCAGCCUGGAGAAUGACGGCCUUGUUAAAACUGAGGGUGGAGAAACAGCAGUCAGUUUUUUGCAUCAUUAAUCUGGAACAAUCUUCCAGGAAAUGUGUUUUAAAUCAGGACUCAAGAUUUUUUUGUUGACAGCAACUUUUUAUUACAUUAAAGAUUAGAACAUUUAAUCUGAUUUCACACUGUAGCUGCACUGUAAUAUUUGUUUUCACUGCUUAUUCUUAUUUUAUGUUUUUAUCUUAUUUUGAUAUAUAUAUUUCAUUUUACUCAUGAUAUUUAUUUUCUUAAUGGCCACAAUGUUACAGAAGCAUGCCAAGUGCUCCGUCUGGUGGGAGAAAUGUUUGUGGUUGUUGUCCAGCCUGAUACACAGACCCAUGGUGUCCUUCAGGUGGUGAAAACGUCAGUAAUUAAGAGUUUUUUCAACUCUCACACCAAAUAAUUCACUGAUACAUGUACAUGUCUCUUGAAAGUUGUGUCCUGCCUUUCACCCAACAUUCACUGAAUAUGUUUGGGGAUAUGAAUCCAGAUCAAAGAUUCUUUAUAGAAUUUGUGCUUGUGUUCAUGUCAAAUGUUUGAAAAGCACAUGCAAUCAUAAAAAACACACAUUUUCUGUUUUGCUCUUGAGUUGAUGCCAUUUUAAUAUAAGAAGUCCAAACUAAGUGGAUUAUUAGCAGAAUGAUUCAGAUGUUCAGCUCUUUAUUAAUGUUGGUUGUUGUUGAACUGUAUUGUGAGAAAAGUUGCCAUUUUUCAGUCUUUUAUCAAAACCAUUUGACCAUCUACUGUUUAUAUAACCUGUGAAAUCUCAUGCUGACUUUUACUAUUCAAACAAACCUCAUCACUCAGAUGUGUGGCAUGUGUUUGUUUGGCACUUAUAUCCCGAACUUAAAAUGUAAAAAUGCUAUUCUAACAAUCCGUGCAAACUGACACUGUAUUUAUUUGAUCAAAGGCCAAAGAAAUACAUUUCAGGAGAAUACAUUCAUCUCUGUAAUAAUAAAGAGGUCAAGACAAUGUUAUUGUUACCUUUAAAGCAACUGUUCAUGUCCUGAGCGAUCCAAACACAAUGAACGAAAUAUCUUUAUGUAUAACCACUGAACACGUAGGCCCAAAUAGUUAAGACUGUGUUGUAGACAGUGUUCCACAAAGCUAACAAAUGUUCUCCUGAUGCAAAAAGUCUCCAAAUUGUAAGUUUA